rnacentral:rRNA from 1 species
AUAUUGCACAAUGGGGGAAACCCUGAUGCAGCCAUGCCGCGUGUGUGAAGAAGGCCUUCGGGUUGUAAAGCACUUUCAGUAGGGAGGAAAGGUAGCAGCUUAAUACGCUGUUGCUGUGACGUUACCUACAGAAGAAGGACCGGCUAACUCCGUGCCAGCAGCCGCGGUAAUACGGAGGGUCCGAGCGUUAAUCGGAAUUACUGGGCGUAAAGCGUGCGCAGGCGGUUUGUUAAGCGAGAUGUGAAAGCCCCGGGCUCAACCUGGGAAUUGCAUUUCGAACUGGCGAACUAGAGUCUUGUAGAGGGGGGUAGAAUUCCAGGUGUAGCGGUGAAAUGCGUAGAGAUCUGGAGGAAUACCGGUGGCGAAGGCGGCCCCCUGGACAAAGACUGACGCUCAGGCACGAAAGCGUGGGGAGCAAACAGGAUUAGAUACCCUGGUAGUCCACGCCGUAAACGAUGUCUACUCGGAGUUUGGUGUCUUGAACACUGGGCUCUCAAGCUAACGCAUUAAGUAGACCGCCUGGGGAGUACGGCCGCAAGGUUAAAACUCAAAUGAAUUGACGGGGCCGGG